UGACGUAACUGAAAUGAAUCCAGCAUGGAUCCUCCUGCUGUCCACUGCAUGCUUCUGGGGUUUAAAUUGGGUUUGCUUAGGGUAACGGACUGAAACUUUCAAACAAAUGAUUUAGUUAUAAUGUCCUUAAUAUUUAAGUUAGUUGCUUUUACUUAUUUAUUUAUGCGUAGUUGCGAAAUUUAUUAACUCAGAGACAGAGUUAAGUAUGACAUACUGGCAACAGAAGAUUUAACCUUUCAUAGAAAAGCGAAGUGAAGUUGUAAAAUAUGAGUGUAGAACGAUGUCCAUACUGUGGAAAGCCCUUCAAAAGGCUGAAAUCUCACCUUCCUCAUUGCAAAAUGGCACCAUUUGCACAACCCCUGAAAAGCACCCAAACACCCCAAGAUCUUCCCAAGAAUGCAAUCACUUCUAAACAGAAGAUCAAUAAAAAGAUAUUAACAGAGAAUAAUUAUUUAGUCUUUGAUGACAGGCAGACGUCCAACGACAGGAGGAAAGAGGAGUUGAUUGUAGAUAAAAUGUCUGUUCAUAAUGCAGAAAGUUCUAUAGCAACUACUGAAGUCACAGCAUUUGUGAAUACAGAGAGGCCUCAAAACAAAUGGUCUGCUAAAAGACAGAAGGAAUAUGAGAGAUUUCAGAAGUUGGCAGUCUUACAGAAGUCAAUCAACUAUACCUCAGUAUCAUCAGAUCAUGAAAGAGAUAAAAGCUUUCAUGAGAUAUCUAAUGGACAAGAAAAGGGAGCAUCUCAAACUAAUGGAACGCCUACUAAAGCCAAAAAGAAGCUAAAAGUGGCGCCAUUAUCAGAGCCUUUGUCCAUCGCCAAGAGCACAACCACAAUGCCAGCCAUUCCAAAAUCCACAAACCUUUCAUCCGAGUGGAGUUUGUGCUGCGAGAAUCCAAAAUGUACAGUCAUGGCGGAGAUGGAACCAAACAGCAAGAGCAGUGAUCUCAAUCUGGUGUCAAGAGUAAAAGAACUCAAAGCUCUGACUUUCUUUACAUCCAAGACUUCAGUGUGGGAUCACAUCAAAGGCAGCUUGUAUUAUAAGAGCGACCUGUGGAAGACGUGCAUAGUUCAAGAUUGCAAGGUGUCAGAAGUCUGGGAUGGAAUCCAGAGAUAAUGACAUCCUUUAGGAUCCUGUUCUCCUCUGAACCUUUCAGAAACUCCUCUGAUGAUAAUAUGUGGAAGAAGCAUCCGUUUUCUGGGCCAUCAUCCCAUAGUGAAGGUGAUGCUUGAUUUUCAAAGUAUGUGAUGAGUUUAGUAAACAAACAAUGCCUUGGGAAAAAACAAGAAUCAAUUUAACACUUUAGAGUCUUGCAGUAUUAUAAUGACUACCACAUUUUUUUAAUAGGCAAGCUAGUGUUUGCCAUUUUGAAAAGUAAAUCACUGUCCUACAAAACAUUUUAAGUGAGAUUAUUAGACGGUUAAUUGAAUAUGAUGAACCACGUACCAUUACCUUAGAUUUACAUUUGGCUACCAUGAAACUAUUAUGCACAGUCCUCAGGCUGAUAGUGAAAGAGCGACACUUGCAUCAGCUUGGCUGGACAAGGGCCAUUGGUCCAUUAGAGGUAAGGAAUGAUAUGUGUAACCAUUCAUCACCACCUCUCUUAAUCCCCAUUGUGGUUGUUCAAAGCAGUUCUCAUUACAUGUCUAAAAAUCUAAAAAGAAAACUUUCUAGUUGCAAUCCACAUGAAAGUAAAACCAGAUAUCAUUUUAAAUUGUGUUUAUGCUCAUAUAGUGCCACUAAUACAGCGGAAACUUGCAGAUGUGAGAUUAAAAGAAUUUGGUGUCUGGCUCGGAGACCAAAGUCCAAAGUCACCCAGAGAGUUUGGGACUGUGCUGAAGCAAGGUUGGCAGUGGUACUACACAAAGUACAUUGAUGUUCGUAGAGGAGGAAUCGGUGGGAUAUCUCUACUGUUAGCUGGCUACUGUGUCCUGUGUUACAUAUGGAGAUACCCAGAUCUCAAGAAAGAACGGUGGAGAAAAUACCAUUAAGGAUAUUUGGUGUUUGUUAAUAACGUGCCUUAGAAAUAAGUGUUAACAGAAGCUAGUUUCUUCUUCACUCCGAACUUGAAGUUUGC